GGUCGUGAUCUUGAUGGUGCUACUUUACUCGGCUCGGUCUGAAAAUAUUUAGAGAAAGCUUAUUGGACAGGUGACACUCAGCUGACUCUACUUUACUCUGCUAGGUAUGCAAAUAUGCUGCUAUAUCCAAAGAAGAGUGGGAAGAACAAAGUAAGAUAUGGCCAACUUCUUUUCAUCCCCCAACCUACAAUAUAGAUGGCAUUGGUGGGUUUAGCGAGGAGGACACACAAUCGAUCUCCAAGUUCAUGAGAGUUGUUAUUGAUAUGGCAGUAUCUGGUCCUAAACCACUUGUAAAUGCUGCAGUGAUAGUUGAUCCUUCAGUUAGGCGAAUAAUAGCUACUGAAACUGAUCAUGCAUGUAGACCAAAAGAUUUCGACUUCUGUUACUGUGUAUCAAGGACUCAGUACUCUCUAGUCAGAAACUUAUGUUUUGGUGAAACAACAUAAUGAAAAGAUCAUUAUAAAGGAAAACACAGAGUGCAAUCACUAGGAAUGAGCAAGAAACCGUCACUAACAAUCCUCAAAUGAAAUAAUCUAUCUCUACCAAUACAAUAAAAUCACAAUUUUGGUAGGAAAGUUAUGGAAUUGCUUUUUCCCACCAGAACGGUAAAAUC